AUGUUGAACGUGCAUUUUGGAGUUCUACAAUCUCGAUUUGCUAUUGUACGUGGUCCGGUUAAUCUUUGGUAUAGGCAAGAUAUUGCUGAUAUCAUGUAUGCAUGUGUUAUAUUGCAUAAUAUGAUAGUCGAGGAUGAGCGGGAUUCCUAUGAGGUUCGCUUCGACUAUGACUAUGAUCAGGGUACCUUUAACAACGAAAUAGAUAAUCUGAACCAUGGGCCAAUUCAUGAAUUUGCCAGAGUGCUGGAGAUAGGCUCAGCAAUUUGUGAUCGAGCUACACAUCGACAACUCAAAGGCGAUUUGAUAGAGUAUCUAUGGCAACGAUUCGGGGGUGGUCAGCCUUAG
rnacentral:rRNA from 1 species